CACGUGGGUCAUUUGCCCUCGGCACCGGGAUAGCCCGGGGAAACCCGGAUUAAUACCGGAUGGCCUCUCGAGCCCUCGGGCUCGUGAGAAAAGGUAGCUUCGGCCUCCGGCCGAGGAUGAGCCCGCGGCGGAUUAGCUUGUUGGUGGGGUAAUGGCCCACCAAGGCGACGAUCCGUAGCCGGCCUCAGAAGACGAGAAGACAAAAGGCCAAAGAAACACAACCCAGACACCUACCGGAGGCAGCAGUGGGAAUCUGCGCAAUGGCGAAGCCUGACGCAGAACGCCGCGUGCGGAGAAGCUUCCGGUUGUAAACCGCUUCCAGGAGGACGAAGCCAUCGGGUUAAUAGCCCAGAGGGUGACGGUACUCCAGAAGAAGCCCCGGCUAACUACGUGCCAGCAGCCGCGGUAAUACGUAGGGGGCAAGCGUUGUCCGGAUUUAUUGGGCGUAAAGAGCGUGUAGGCGGCCAGGCAGGUCCGCUGUGAAACUCGAGGCUUAACCUCGAGACGUCGGUGGAAACCGUUUGGCUAGAGUCCGGAAGAGGAGAGUGGAAUUCCCGGUGUAGCGGUGAAAUGCGCAGAUAUCGGGAAGAACACCCGUGGCGAAGGCGGCUCUCUGGGACGGUACUGACGCUGAGACGCGAAAGCGUGGGGAGCGAACAGGAUUAGAUACCCUGGUAGUCCACGCCGUAAACGAUGGGUGCUAGGUGUGGGCGGUGUCGACUCCGUCCGUGCCGAAGCUAACGCAUUAAGCACCCCGCCUGGGGAGUACGGCCGCAAGGCUAAAACUCAAAGGAAUUGACGGGGGCCCGCACAAGCAGCGGAGCAUGUUGUUUAAUUCGACGCACGCGAAGAACCUUACCAGGGCUGACAUGCACAGGAAUGUCGUGGAAACACGCAGCCCUUCGGGCCUGUGCACAGGUGGUGCAUGGCUGUCGUCAGCUCGUGUCGUGAGAUGUGGGUAAAGUCCCGCACGAGCGCACCCUAACCUAUGUUGCCAGCGUGAAGACCGGAACUCAUACGGAACUGCCGGUGACAAAUCGAGAAAGUGGGGAUGAGGUCAAGUCACAUGCCCUAGUCCUCGACUCAAACGUGCUACAUUGGCCGGUACAAAGGGCGGCAAACCCGUGAGGGGGAGCGAAUCCCAAAAAGCCGGUCCCGGUUCGGAUUGGAGGCUGAAACUCGCCUCCAUGAAGGCGGAGUUGCUAGUAAUCGCGGAUCAGCAACGCCGCGGUGAAUAUGUUCCCGGGCCUUGUACACACCGCCCGUCACACCACGAAAGUCGGCAACACCCGAAGCCGGUGGCCUAACCCGCAAGGGAGGGAGCCGUCGAAGGUGGGGUUGAUGAUUGGGGUAAAGUCGUAACAAGGUAACC
rnacentral:rRNA from 1 species